UUAAUAACAGCGAGAAGGAGUAGUAGUAAGCGAAACGGGUCUAGAGAGUUGACGGUUGGUGCAAGUCAAUCCAUGUUUCAUUAUGAACUCGCCUUUGAGUUGCGAUUGUGAACUUAAGUAGCAAUGGCCGUUCAUCCACGUUACGGAUUUAAGUGAAUGUAAGUAUUUACAUUAAUUUAGGGUGGUACCGCGGGAAUCUAUAACCUCUCGUCCCUUUU
rnacentral:ncRNA from 1 species